UCCACCUGUGCUCACCUCUUGCCUCCCUCUCGCCUGCCUCUCAGCUCUUCUCAGCAGCUGGUUCCCCAUCCGUGGUCCUCACCAGCCUGGAUGCAGUCGUGAGGCAGCACCAUUCACCUGGCCAGCUUCUGCCUCAUGAACUGGAAUAGCUUCCAUGUGUUGGAUUUAUUCAUUAGGAUGACUCUCAACAGCAAAUCAGCUGUGUUCGACCAGCAGCGGAACCAGGGGAAAGAGUUUCAUUCCACUGAGGACUUCAGAAUCCAGGCUGAUGGAGCCUGAGACAUUCUCAAGAUGUGGCUUCCAAGAUCAAUCACCCAAGUAGUCACAGCCAGGAGACCGACAAAGAUAAAAGACAGUGGAGAAACGCCCACCGGUGGGAAGUCACAUUGGCCAGAAUACAUCUCACUGGCCAGAACCUGGUUAGGUGGCUUUUACUUAACUGCAAGGGAGGCCGGGAAAUGGAGCCCAGCUUGCCCAGGAGGAAAGGGAGCCAGGAGGAUAAGAACACCGACAUCACAGGACUGCAGUGAGAAGUAGCGGAGGUGGUGCCCGACGUACAGGAAGCAUGAAGACUGGUCUGUGCUGUUAUUACUAUGGUUAACUCCAGAGGCAGCCAGCCAGCCACUGGGUCUCAGGUGUGCUGUGUGGGUAGGAUUUACACCAAGAGCUCAGAAUCUGUACAUUUCCCUCAGAACCAAGGUGUGGUCGGGAGUGCUCUCCCACCGGCCCACCGAACAACUGGUCUUUGAAGCAAACCCUGCAGGCUCCCCAGCCCUCACCCAGUUGUGACUCAGUUUCCCCACCCACUAAAGGGGGCAACAAAGACAGUUCUGAACUUGUUGGUAAGACACGUUGAGAACCUUGAAAUAAAGAUGGUAUUUAGUAUGA